rnacentral:ncRNA from 1 species
CAGUAAUGUGGGGUGGGGAGGAAGCCGGAGGCGAAACACAGACAGGAUGAAUAAGAACCGAAUACAAGGCCAAAGCGCACGAGGUGAGGUAGCCAUGGAUGCUUACGCCCGAUACUCUGUCAAGAAUGCGCAUGGUAGAUUCGGCCUGCACUGUGUGAAAGCUG